AUUGGGUCUAGUGGAAGGGGUUGGAAUUAGGUUCUUUAAGGUCCCUUCCAACCCGAACCAUUUUAUGAUCACCUAUACUGUAUUUUCUCAAGGCAUUUCUGGUUGCUCUGUGAUAGAGGAAGGAGGAACAGAAUUAAAGGGAGACAGAAUAUGGAAAUAACAAGCUGGGAUGAGAAGUAUCUGGAGAAAGGGUGAAUUUUCCUUCUCUUGCCUGGGCUCUGACUGCACUUUAGAAGCCACGCGGAUGCUCACAAGUUCGUGAUGUCACUGAAGUGAGCUCUUUUCCACUGGGAAGAAGAAAUUUCACUGCAAUUCAGACAUGUUCCUAACAUAGCGAUCUACAGCAAAUUCAGAGGUGCCAAGCCCUGCCAGCCCAAGAUUUCAACCAUAUUUACAGUUGUACUACAUCAGGAGGAUUUGAGGAUUUGGCCACAAGAAAAAACACCUCUGUAGUCAAGAGGAGUUCCAACCCACAACUGGUGGGUGCUCAUCUGAAGGAGCAGCUAACCAGAAUUAGACCCACACAGCAUCUCCACUGCAUCUCACCAACAAGCUGGUUUGGCUGGAUGGCUGCUGAGCGGUGCUGGUAUCCACCUGGCUGA
rnacentral:lncRNA from 1 species